UACGUAGGUGACAAGCGUUGUCCGGAUUUACUGGGCGUAAAGAGCGCGCAGGCGGUCGUUCAAGUCGAGUGUGAAAGCCCCCGGCUCAACUGGGGAGGGUCAUUCGAUACUGAUCGACUCGAAGGCAGGAGAGGGUAGUGGAAUUCCCGGUGUAGUGGUGAAAUGCGUAGAUAUCGGGAGGAACACCAGUGGCGAAGGCGACUACCUGCCUGUUCUUGACACUGAGGCGCGAAAGCUAGGGGAGCAAACGGG
rnacentral:rRNA from 1 species